rnacentral:rRNA from 1 species
AUGGCGGUUCCGGCGGGCUUCAUCUUCGGGGCAGCCGCGGCGGCGGUGAUCGCCGUGGGCGCGUACAUGUUCUUCUGGCCGGCGUCGGCGGCCGUGGCCAUGAUGAAAGCACCUGGAUCCGGCGGCCUGCUGAUAUCCCGCCUGGCGUUCGAGGCCAACCCGCAGCGCUACUACUACCUCCUCCGCACCGCCGGCGCCGCGGUGGCCGCCGCCGCUUUCGCUCCGUGA